UACGGGGGGGGCAAGCGUUGUUCGGAAUUACUGGGCGUAAAGGGCUCGUAGGCGGCCAACUAAGUCAGACGUGAAAUCCCCAGCUCAACCUGGGAACUGCGUCUGAUACUGGAUGGCUUGAAUUCGGGAGAGGGAUGCAGAAUUCCAGGUGUAGCGGUGAAAUGCGUAGAUAUCUGGAGGAAUACCGGUGGCGAAGGCGGCAUCCUGGACCGACAUUGACGCUGAUGAGCGAAAGCUAGGGGAGCAAACGGG
rnacentral:rRNA from 1 species